ACGGGUGAGUAACGCGUGGGAACGUGCCUUCCGGUUCGGAAUAACCCUGGGAAACUAGGGCUAAUACCGGAUACGCCCUUAUGGGGAAAGGUUUACUGCCGGAAGAUCGGCCCGCGUCUGAUUAGCUAGUUGGUGGGGUAACGGCCUACCAAGGCGACGAUCAGUAGCUGGUCUGAGAGGAUGAUCAGCCACACUGGGACUGAGACACGGCCCAGACUCCUACGGGAGGCAGCAGUGGGGAAUAUUGGACAAUGGGCGCAAGCCUGAUCCAGCCAUGCCGCGUGAGUGAUGAAGGCCUUAGGGUUGUAAAGCUCUUUUAUCCGGGACGAUAAUGACGGUACCGGAGGAAUAAGCCCCGGCUAACUUCGUGCCAGCAGCCGCGGUAAUACGAAGGGGGCUAGCGUUGCUCGGAAUCACUGGGCGUAAAGGGCGCGUAGGCGGCGUUUUAAGUCGGGGGUGAAAGCCUGUGGCUCAACCACAGAAUGGCCUUCGAUACUGGGACGCUUGAGUAUGGUAGAGGUUGGUGGAACUGCGAGUGUAGAGGUG
rnacentral:rRNA from 1 species